GAAAGCAUCGUGCAACAACAUGCUGAUUUCAGAAUAUAUAUUGUAUGUUUUGUGCUUAACCUUGACUUGCUUUUUCAGCAUUCAAAAAACUGAUGUUGCAGCUACUGCAGCUGAAACUGAAGGUAACAA